GCGCCUGGCUGGCUUAAGUCAGAGGGGUGCGUGGCUAUUGAUCUCGGGGUCUUGAGUUCAAGCCCUACAUUGGGCAUAGAGAUGACUAAAAACAUUUAAAAAAGAAAACUUACCAUCUGAAUUGAAAUGAAUCAUAAGUGUAAAAUACUCACCAGAUUUUGAUGACUUCAUAUGAAAAUAAAAUACUUCAAUAAUAAUUUUAUACUGAUUACACAUUGAAAUCAUAUUUUGGAUAUUCGGCCGGACUAUAUCACUAAAAUUAACCCCACCUAUUUCCUUUACAGCUUGAAUGUGGUCACUAAAAACUUCAAGUCCUGCGUGUGGCUCCGGCUUGAUGGGAUUCAGGUUCCAGAUGUGGGUGGACCCUUCACCAGCUGUUUACUUGAAGCAUCACACCGGGAGGCAGUAAGUUACAGUCCUUCUGAUGAUGAUGCUAAGUGGAAUCUCCUAGAUCCCUCCUUGUAAAUUUGCAUUUCCCCUUUCACACAGCGAACAAUCCCUGGGAAGAUCUGGCUCCCAUUUAUUUACCAAAUGACUAGAGUUCUGUGCUGCCUUCUGUCUGAAUCCGUCACUGCAGUCGGGAUUGCAAACUGGUGUUCUUUUCAUUCCAUAUCUAUUAUAUGCUCUAUAGAGAUUCCAUAUCUAUUAGCCGAACUCCUUCUGAGGACAAGAGCUCUCCUCCGUCACUAGGCCUGUCUGAAAUAGUUCAUAUGGAUAAACGCUUCUUUUCCUUUAAUUACCCGAAGAGUUGGCGCACGAAUUAUGGCAAAGGAGUUUCAGGUUUUUAUUUUGUUGGCUUUUCUUUCUGUGCCUUUUUUAAGGUUUUUGUUUGUUGCUAAGUUUUUUAAAAUAACUUUACCGGGAUGCAACUCACAUAUGCAAUGUCCCCCUUUAAAGUGUACAGUUCAGUGGUUUUUAGCACAUUCACAGAGUUAUCCCACCAUCUGUACAACCGAUAUUGGACGGUUUCCACCCGGAAGAAGAGUGCAUAGCCCUGCCCCAAGCCUCGCAGCCCCAGGCGGCCGCUAGUCUGUUUCCUGUCUCCCUGGAUGAGCCCACCCUGUGCACAUCAUAUACGUGGCCUCAUACUGCAUGCGGUCCCGGGUGCCUGGCUCCUUCAUAAGCACCGUGCUUGCUAGAUCUAUCCAUGUCGUAGCGCGUGCCAGGACUUCGUUUCGUUUUAUUGCUGAGUAAUAUUCCAUCGCAUGGCUAGUCCACAGUUUAUUUAUCUGUUCCUCAGUUGACCCAAUAUUUGAGUUGAUUUCACUCUUCGGCUGUUAUUUACAAUGCUGCUAUGAGCAUUUGGAUACAAGUGCUGUGUGGACAUAUGUUUUCAGUUCUCUUGGGUGUGUAUCUGGGGGUGGGGUGGCUGAGUCAUGUGGCAACCCCGUGUUUCACCCCGGGAAGACGGCCAGGCUGUUUUCCAAAGCAGUCAAGCCACUUUGCACUCCUAGCGGCCGCGAAUGGGGGUUCCCGUCCCUCCACAUCCUGCCCGACACCUGUUGUGUUCCUCUCUCUUGAUUGUGGCCUUUCUGGAGAGUGUGAAGGGGGGUCUCAUGGUGGUUUUAUCAUUUCCCUGAUGGCUAAUAAGUUUCGUGAGCUUA